rnacentral:tRNA from 1 species
CGAGGCGUAGCCAAACUGGAUAACGCACCCCGCUUCGAACGGGAAGAUUAUAGGAGUUCGAAUCUCCUCGCCUCGGCCA